UACGUAGGGUGCGAGCGUUGUCCGGAAUUAUUGGGCGUAAAGGGCUCGUAGGCGGUUUGUCGCGUCGGGAGUGAAAACCUUGGGCUUAACUCAGGGCUUGCUUUCGAUACGGGCAGACUAGAGGUAUGCAGGGGAGAACGGAAUUCCUGGUGUAGCGGUGAAAUGCGCAGAUAUCAGGAGGAACACCGGUGGCGAAGGCGGUUCUCUGGGCCGAUACUGACGCUGAGGAGCGAAAGCAUGGGUAGCGAACAGG
rnacentral:rRNA from 1 species